rnacentral:rRNA from 1 species
AACGACGCUGGCGGCAGGCCUAACCAUGCAAGUCGAGCGCCCGCAAGGGGAGCGGCGGACGGGUGAGUAACGCGUGGGAACGUGCCUCUUGCUACGGAAUAGCCUCGGGAAACUGGGAGUAAUACCGUAUGUGCCCUACGGGGGAAAGAUUUAUCGGCAAGAGAUCGGCCCGCGUUGGAUUAGGUAGUUGGUGGGGUAAUGGCCUACCAAGCCGACGAUCCAUAGCUGGUUUGAGAGGAUGAUCAGCCACACUGGGACUGAGACACGGCCCAGACUCCUACGGGAGGCAGCAGUGGGGAAUCUUAGACAAUGGGCGCAAGCCUGAUCUAGCCAUGCCGCGUGAGCGAUGAAGGCCUUAGGGUUGUAAAGCUCUUUCAGUGGGGAAGAUAAUGACUGUACCCACAGAAGAAGCCCCGGCUAACUCCGUG